CGGCGUGCUUAACACAUGCAAGUCGAACGAGACGAUUUAGAAGCUUGCUUUUAUUGAGUCGAGUGGCAAACGGGUGAGUAACGCGUAGACAACCUGCCGCAAAGAUGGGGACAACAGUCCGAAAGGACUGCUAAUACCGAAUGUUGUAUCUCCUCCGCAUGGAAGAGAUAUUAAAGAUGGCCUCUACUUGUAAGCUAUCGCUUUGCGAUGGGUCUGCGGCGCAUUAGCUAGUUGGAGGGGUAACGGCCCACCAAGGCGACGAUCAGUAGCCGGUCUGAGAGGAUGAACGGCCACAUUGGAACUGAGACACGGUCCAGACUCCUACGGGAGGCAGCAGUGGGGAAUCUUCCGCAAUGGGCGAAAGCCUGACGGAGCAACGCCGCGUGAGUGAAGAAGGUCUUCGGAUCGUAAAGCUCUGUUGUCGGGGACGAAUGUUGAGACCUAGAACAUAGGUUUCAAAUGACGGUACCUGACGAGGAAGCCACGGCUAACUACGUG
rnacentral:rRNA from 1 species